CUAUGCCAUCAUUUUGUUGGAGACUGCCACACGAAGAGACCUGGUCUUGAAAGAAGAGCCUCAUUCUGUGGGGCAUCCUUGUGUCUCCCUCUUGAGGAGCUGAUUACAGGGAAGACUGAGAAUCUCUGUCCUUGCCCUUCAGGGUAUGCAGAGUGACAUCGUGGGCUUCACUCAGCUUUCCAGAACCAGAAUGCCAAAUCAGGUAGUGGACUUCCUGAACAAGAUGUACACCACCUUUGAUGAAGUUAUAGGAUGUUCAGCUGUGGAAAUCAGCUACCUUGCGGUGAUAAAGCCCCAACCAACUCCCACAGAGAGCCCACAUGGAGAAGCCACAUGGAGAGAACUGAGCUCCCCUGCUGAUGGCCAGAAUCAACUGCCAGAC